rnacentral:rRNA from 1 species
UCCCAUAAAGUUGUUCUCAGUUCGGAUUGUAGUCUGCAACUCGACUAUAUGAAGCUGGAAUCGCUAGUAAUCGUAGAUCAGCAUGCUACGGUGAAUACGUUCCCGGGUCUUGUACACACCGCCCGUCACACCACGAGAGUUUGUAACACCCGAAGCCGGUGGAGUAACCAUUUGGAGCUAGCCGUCGAAGGUGGGACAAAUGAUUGGGGUGAAGUCGUAACAAGGUAGCCGUAUCGGAAGGUGCGGCUGGAUCACCUCCUUUCUAAGGA